rnacentral:rRNA from 1 species
UACGUAGGGCGCAAGCGUUGUCCGGAAUUAUUGGGCGUAAAGAGCUCGUAGGUGGUUUGUCACGUUGUUCGUGAAAACCCACAGCUCAACUGUGGGCGUGCGAGCGAUACGGGCAGACUAGAGUACUGCAGGGGAGACUGGAAUUCCUGGUGUAGCGGUGGAAUGCGCAGAUAUCAGGAGGAACACCAAUAGCGAAGGCAGCUCGCUGGGACGUACUGACACUGAGGCGCGAAAGCGUGGGGAGCGAACAGG